UGGCAAUUAUAAAAAUGUAGAUUCAGAGGGAAUUCCCUCUGUAGGAAAAAUUUGAAACUGAGAGGCUGUAUUAGCUCAGCCUAAACAAGAGGGUUAAGCAAUGUGUGUAUUCUCAGAAACAAACUCAAUUCCAGGACAUCCACUGAAGCUUUCCAUGUUUUAAGGUUUCCCUCUGUUCUGUGGUGAUUUCAGUGACCUUUCUUCCAGUGAUAAAACCAGACACGAGAAGGAAAUAUAAAUAUUCCACAUUGCAAUUUCGCACAUCCUAGGAGUGUCAGCAGUGCCAGCCUUUGCUGCUCCUCAGGUUGUUCUCUAAACUUCGGCUUUCUGCAGAAUUGGAUAGCAGAUAUUUCUGAUGAAAUGACUCAAUCCCAUGUGACUUUCAGUACUUUUCCACUUCCAGCUGGAAAAAACAAGCAGAAUACAAAGAGAGAAGAAUUGGCAUCUAAGAAAGUUGGUGUAGUCUUAAGGUCUUUUCCUUCAGCUGGGAAACUCACAAAAUUACAUACUGGGUUAUUAGUGCAGCAAGUCCAGCUUGAAUUGCAUGUUUGUUUUACUUGCUGUGGUGAUUCUGAACUUGAGGGCCUGAUCUCAACAACAGGAGUGCUCCUCCUGAUUUAGUAUAGGCAGGCUUCAGGUCACAUCCGAGAUAGACUGCGGUUAACAAACGAUGAUUUCUGAAGAAAUAUGAACAAGCAGGCACAAUCAGAGGAGGUGGAAAAUACAUUUACUGCAAGUAUUAUUGUUGUCUUGUUUCUUUUGAGGCAAUAUGCAACAUGAGAGAAAAUAUUUUAGAUUCUUAUGAGAGAUGAUUUCAGCAGAGCGUUUGAUAACAGUGGCAAGGAGAGCUGAAGGAAACGUAGUAACAACUUCUGUAAUGAGCAGUGUGCUCUAAGCUGGAUAAUUUUCGUUAAUGGAUUUAGAAAUCUGUUAGCAUGCACAGAACAGGCAAAAGCUGAGUGUCCUGUGACUCAGAUUUCAUCUUUACAGACAGGGAUUUCCAGGUUUGCACAGAGUCUAAAUGGUACUCAGCAGCUUCCAUCACAUUCCUUUGACAAGCAAGGUGCCGUGGUGUUGGAGCUGGAGCAGGGUUUAAAGGGGAUUUAAAGCAAAGUUUGUGAGCAGCAAGCCUUCGGCUGCCAAAUUAAGAGAGAGAAGGGAAGAAUUUCUGAGCAGCUUAUGAAAAUUGACCUUUGGUCUUGCUAUGCUCUGCAGGACCACUGUACCAGGUAUUUCCAGUUUAAAGCAAGUAUCGUUGAUGCCCACUAUAGCUUUAACUGCUUUCACUUCAGGAGAAGUUCACCUCUUGUCUAACUGUGAAUUCCAACAUGUUAUAAUAGGUUGAGGAUUUUUGAAUCUUUGUCUUUGUCAAAACCUCUGAACAGUAGAACAGUUCUUCCUUCCCAUCUACUCAGCCAAUAAACAGACAGAAACUGCAGAGUACAGGGCAAGGAAUGCUUUUUCUCAUGCAGGGAAUUGACUCCACUAGCGUGCCUCAGUGCGAGUGAGCAGCAUAUAGAAAGGGCCCUUUGGAGUAACAAAGGAUGGUCAUGCUGUUCAUCUUCCAUGCACAGCCAUCAGCCAGUCCCUUCAUCAGAAAUGAAGCAGAGUCAUUAUUCAACGAAGGAAUAGUUUUUUUGGGUUUGUUUCUUAAUUUUUGCUAAUUUUCAGCAGGGAGUUGGUAGAGCAGAGUAUUUCUGCGGUUGAUUUACUGUACUGUGAAUACUAGUGCAGAAACAAGGCAGAGUGUGCAGGGAAAAUUAAACCUGUUGUGUUAAAAAAUCCUAGAAAAAUUCUUGCCUUAGUAAAGUGAAGCUGAGAGGCUUAUGAAUCCUGUGGUGAAACUCAGAAAUUCUGACUCGGUGUCCUACAAAACCUCCCUGCUUUCCCUCUCUUAUUUACCCUAAGUUUGAUUACAGCUUUUUUAAGUUUGUAGCUGACCUACCCCUAUUGAACCUAAUUAUUUACAAAUAAAUAAUUGUGAUUCUUCAUGACGUUGGUUCUUACUGAUCUCCAUUUUACGUCCCAGUAACAAGGGGAAGAUAAUGAAGUGUAGCAGAGGAAAAAGAGUUAAGAACACUUCCCCAGUUUUCUACUGAUAGAUUUAUCCUGCCCUGAGGUAGGACCUUCAGUCACCUCUGUGACUGCUGAGGUAGCCAUUUUCUAACCUCUUUUUCAGCUUAGAAAUCCUUUACAAAGACAAGGAGGAAAAGACUAUGCUGGUGGUAACAUUUUCAUCAAGAUUUGUAUGUGAUUUGCUUUCCAUCUAGUGCUAUCCUUUUAAUAUUUUUGCUAAUUGUGAUACUGUAGUGAUGUUGCUGGUUCCAUGUUUCCUCUUGAGUUAAUUAAAUUAUGUUGACUCCUUUUUAAUUUUCAUGUAAUGAUUUUUCUUGGCUCACAAUGGAAGACUAGAUUUUUGCUUCUACCAGCUUUGACUUAUAACCACCUGUGAUGUGCAGGAGUUCCUGGCUGGCCUGUGGAUCCACAUUAAGCUGUCCUUAAUUUACACUUUUUAGUGCUCCCAAUGAAAGUAUGACAAAAAGGAAAGGUUGUAGUCUACAAGAAACCCCGUGAAAUCAGAACACAUCUGUUCAUUUUCCAGUCACUGCUCAGAAGUUAGCUAAUUAGCCUAACAAAUAUUGAUAGUUCUUUUGUUUGCAGAUGCAGCUCCAGUCUGUGAGUCCAAUGAUGCAUGAUCAGAAUGGUUGGCUUUUGGUUGCAGAGCAUGUAUUUCUGACCCAAACUUUUACCUGGAAGCUUUACUACCUGAUAUUCUUAUGGGCUUGCAGAAAAUGCAUGUAAAGGAGUGAAUGUUUGCAGUGUUCAUUCUUUUAUCACAUCAAGGCCAACUGCAGCACAGCAUGUAUCUUCUUACUGAAGGAUUCAGUAACAAAACAGCUUUAUUAUUAUUUUUUUCCUAAGAAGCCAGAUGAAGAGUGUUUUUCAGCUGUAAUUCUACUGGCAGUGGUUAGUGGCUUGAUGCUCAGCCUGAAAUGACUGUGUCACAACCUAAUUUCCAAUGUAUUUCCACAGUUUAGUAAAAUGUGUUCUGUAAUGCAUGACUGCAGAAAACUCCCUAGAUGCAUAUUUAUCAAGAAACUAGCCUGGACUGGAUUUCUGCUCACCACUAGCCAGAGAAGGGGAUUUAACUGCAUCUCUCUCUGCUCCAAUCAGAGUUCUUGUGGUCUUGUAAAAGCUGAUCUUUCUAGUCCUGCAGUCUUCCAUCCUCCUGUUAAGGUAAUAGGAGGGUUGCUUGCUGCAUGUGGCUUUAGAACAAAUCUCUUACUUCGAGCUGAAUAGAAAUAUUUAUGUUUAACUACAGUUGGUUGUACUUUUCAUAAGAGCACAAAUGCUUCUGUUCUAUCAUUUGCAAAUGGUUUUAAAAUAAAUAGGAAUGGUAAAUUUGUGAUGCAGUCCAUUAGGAAGUGCAUUUUCCUGUGAUAAUUUCACCCAUAUAAAUGAAUCAUUCUUCCUACAAAUGAGAAACCAAUAUGUUUGGCAAACAAGGCCUGAAUCUCUUUUAAGUUUUUAAGUUUUAAGUGUUGGACCAUGAGAUUCAUUGAUGUUGGCAGUAAUUGGAUCCAAUUCCCAUCAUUGCCAAAAUGUCUGCAUGGCACACUGUAGCAUCACUGUGCCAUCAGUCCCAAGGGUAAUAUAGGCAUACCAGUACAACUCUAUAUUUAUAUACACAGUUCUCCUGCCAAAACACUGCAUCAACAUAGCUGGUGCUGGUCUGCUGCUGUGUUGUACUGCAAUAUUCAGUGUAUUCCUAAGGCUUAUUCUUAACCAAUGCUUCUUGUGCCAGGAUCUGAAUGCAGUGGAUGCUAAAUCUCUUUACAAUUACUGCCCCACAUCCUGCCCCUUUACUCUUUGCUCCAGUAGGUUUGUCACUCAUUUCUUCAGGAUUGUGCCUACUGUGGAACUGAAGAGUCUGAAUCACCACUGAAUGCACUGGCAGUAAAUAAACCAUCCUAGUUGUCCUCCUCAUCCAUUUUUGGUUGCUGUAUUUGCAGAAUACGUUGCAUUAUACAUCCAUUUUCAGUGAGAUGUUCUGACGACAGAAAUUUUAAGAAGGAGAAUCCAAGUUAUUUGUUUUAAUAAAUAUCAUGAUGUCAUGCACUUCCCCAAACUCUUUCACUUCUCAGAACAAAUUAAUUGUUCAUUAAUCCAUUCUUGAUGAAACAGCAUUUGGAAGAGCAGUUUAUAUGUCUGCAUCUCACAUUAAGCAAAUAAUUCAUUUAUGCCAUUACACAGCAGCAUUGUGAUGGAGUAGCUAUCUGAUAACUGCUUACACUUAACUCAGGUAAACCAUCAAAAGAUUCCAGAUAUAAAUUUGAUUGCUAAAGCCAUUCACUGCUUCAAUAACUUGCAUAUCCCACAAACUUUGUGAUGAGUUCAUAAAUAUCAUAAAGGGUAAUAGGAAUGCAUUCUAAGAGUGCAUUAUUGCUAGCUGUAAGCCAGCUGCCCUCAGGCUGAUGACAUAUCAGUAUGCAGUAUGCUCUGUGAAGCAUAAGCAUUGUUUUACAUCUGGUAUUGUUGGUAUUAGUAUAAGGUGAUGCUGCAAAAGGUAGUUAGGAUUUGAGGUGGAGAGAAUGGAAAACAUUUGUCUUUGAUAAACCAAAUUAUUCUUGGAGCAAUUCUGAAUGUAAAACCAUAGCUUAGUCUUUAAGGACUAGUGUUCCCAAUAUCUCAACCAUCUACAUUUUAUAUCUUCUUCUAAGAAAGAGAAUAGGUAAGCUGAAUUUCUACUGAUACUAGUAUAACAGGGCCAGAAAAACUGUUUGCCAUGGCCAGCUAAACCAAAUACGGACAAUGUCCUGAUAUUGCUAGCAGAAUUGGGUACUGGAGACCAGCUGUCUGCAUAUGAUGGGAUAAUUUUCCCCUUGCAUUUUCUCAGAUCAUAUUGUGUUUUGUUAGUCUUAGAAAGCACUUGAGUUUUGUUUGGGUCCAGAUGUGAGUGAUGUGACUUACUCUUCAUUCCAUAUUCCCUUGACUUUUCUCAUGCUUCCUGUCUCUUUCCAAAGCCAAAGCCAAAAGUUCCAAAACAGAAACCUACGGGAAAAGCUUCCCUGGAAAUGUUUGUCUUGAACAGAAACAAGCAGCAAAAUACAUUUCCUGCAAAAUAAUUUUCUUACGGGAAAUGUAGCCUGUGUCCUACACCAAAUGGUCUGCCUAAGUGCAUAUUUUUAGAUAAGCUUUUCAAUUACAGAUUCUUACUGAAAGCACAGUAAGUGUCUUUCAGUUUCUCAUCUUCGAUUUCUUUUGAUCCCACUCGGCCUUGAGAAAUGUGUUCUCCCUUUACUUGAUUUCUUUCUUGAAAAGGGGUGGGUGGACCUGUGGUAAGUUAAGAUUGAAAAAGAUUUGAACAACACUGAUUAGCAAAGAGCUCAUGUAACCAUCUGUUGUAACUUCUAACUAAUAUCUAUAAGCAUACCAAGCCUCACAUAGUCCACAUCAGAUGAAAAGGUCUUUUCUUAAGCAUUUAGGAUGGAAUUCUUGCAGCUAAAGUUUGAACACUGGAAGAUUUGCUUUACAUCAACACCUGCUGUUCUGCCAUUACUGCAAGAAGGAAGCUGGAGCAAAUAGACUUUUCAGCUGUGACAUACAAUCCAUGUGUGGAUUAAACUGAGCAUGCAACUACAGCUGAGAAUUCCAGAGAAUCCUCCUUCCUCCACUCUGACAGUGCAAAGGAUGACUCUUCAACACUUCCUUCCUUGUUCUAAGAAAAUUCGAUUGAUCGUCAAAAGUGAUUUUGACAUCCUUCCAAUGUAUGUCUGGGCUCAUCUUUAAACUCUUCACUCCAACGUGACUUAAGCUGCCUGUGCAGAGAAGAAAAGUAACCUUAAGCAGGUUCUGCACUGGGAAGCAGAGAUAAGUUACACAGGGAAAGAAGUUCCACGCAGUACUAUGAAUUCAUCUGCUUAUCAUCUUCAGCAUUCCCAUCAAACUUUGUCACCGUUCUCUAGCCAGGAUGGAUCUAUAUGAAGCCAACAAUUCUGUGUGUUUGAAUUGUCCUGUUCAGCACAGUAAGGUACUUCUGGCUUUUAUAUUCAUUAAGGGUCUCUCUCUCCCUAUUGACUCUCUCUCCUCUACAUGCAUACCAUUUUCUGUGGGUUUCUUAACGAGUCAGGUUACAAAUGUGUGACUAGAAAUCAAAACUGCCCUUCAAUGAAAUGUAUAAUUAUUGCUUUUUCAUAGUGAAGAGUUCUUAAUAAGAUGCAGUGCAACAGUAAGUAAAAGCAAUGCAUCCAGUGUUCUGUAUGUUCAGUGUGUGAGACUCUUAAAGUAGAUCUUUCCAGCUGAAUCAGAAAAUAGAGAUAAGCUUCCCUGCUUAUUCAAGGUUCGUGUCUUUUUUUCCAUUUUGACAAAGAACCACAAAGGUAAAAUGUGACAAGGGAAAGGAGCACCACCUACUGGUCACAGAAUGAUACUGGGGAACGAGAAUGGCGUGAAAUUCUACCCGCCCGUUAAAAUGUACAGACCGUGCAAUUCUUGGCUGACUUGUUUGUAUAUAAGGAAAGAAAUUGUUCUGGAAAUGCAGUAACAGGGUGUUCUUCGUGGGCACUGCGGUGACUGAGAGGCGGGGGAUUUAGAAUGAUGUCUGAUGCAGCUGAAGGAGGGUGGUUCUGACUGUAUCAGAAGCAGUACUUUGAGAAUCUUUUGCCUGUUUGUCUCCCGUGGCUUUAAAAAAAGUAAAGAGUUUAGGAAAGAUUGUGGUUCCUGAUCUCCAAAGAAUUUAAAUAAAAAUAGGCCAAAACCAUUCACUGUUUGAAAUAGUGUACUCUUGUUUGCA